CAAGUUGGGAAUAUUUACAGGACUCGGUACCCGUCUUUGGUACAGUGUGGCCAUAGUUAACAAAGAACUACAUACUUAGAAUGCAAUCUCAGUGAUUUUCCCGGAAGGCUCAUUGUUCUCUUGUAGAAGUCUAUGUGCAGCAACCUGACCCAAGGCUAUUAUUAUCCUCAUGAAUGAGCUCAGAAGGAAGAAGUGGGUGCAGCCAGAGGUGCCAACACGGAAGUACAGGGGAUCCCAGGAAAGAUAACGUCAUUUAAACUAUACCUUCCUGGACUGGCUGGAAUGAAGCCUUGCUGAGAAGAAGGGCUUCAAAUACUUGCCAACUUACUUCAUUAAGAUAUUUCAUUGUACUGGAUACCACCGCUGUGUGAUGAGUGCAAACCUUUGCAAUCCUUUCAAAGAACAUCUGCUCAACUGUGCAUUUUUGGAAGUGAAGAAAAUAUUAACAGUCACCCAGGAGGAGAAUAUUACAUUACGCACUCAGGUGACUUCCUUCCAUCUUUCCCCUACCUGUUUGCUUGUCAAACUUAUUGGUCUUCUCUCAGUGCUCCUCUGAGAUUCUGGGAGCCUUGCUGCCUCUGGCUGCAUAUUUUGCAUCAUCUUUCUGUUCUUCCUAGCAUCUCCUCAGACAGAGAUAUCUAUAGAACAUUAGACCCAAAUGCC
ensembl:processed_transcript